AUUCUGUUCCAGGAUCUCUGCAUGAGACUGUCACCUGCUGUGCUCUGUAUUUUCUGAGACCUGUAAUGUUGAUUUGGGCUUUGCGCUAUUUAAAGUAUCUUCAAGGCAACCUAAAAUCAUGGAUCAGGUUUUUCAGAAUAACAAGAGAAUUUGCUGUUUUUACAGUCUUUGUAUAUUCAGUUCUUUUUAUAUAUGUCUGGAGAAAGAGAGCACAUGAUACAGACAUCAAACCUCGCAUGUUUUCUGCAGUUUUAUUUGGAAUUGUUGUGCUGAGUUGUCUCAUCUUGG